rnacentral:rRNA from 1 species
GGGGAUAACAGGCUGAUCUUCCCCAAGAGUCCAUAUCGACGGGAUGGUUUGGCACCUCGAUGUCGGCUCGUCGCAUCCUGGGGCUGGAGUAGGUCCCAAGGGUUGGGCUGUUCGCCCAUUAAAGCGGUACGCGAGCUGGGUUUAGAACGUCGUGAGACAGUUCGGUCUCUAUCCGCCGCGCGCGUUGAAACUUGUGGAAGGCUGUCCCUAGUACGAGAGGACCGGGACGGACGUACCUCUGGUGUGCCAGUUGUUCCGCCAGGAGCAGGGCUGGUUGGCUACGUACGGAAGGGAUAACCGCUGAAAGCAUCUAAGCGGGAAGCCUGUUUCGAGAUGAGGUUUCUUUUGAGGUUCCCCAUAGAUGAUGGGGUUGAUAGGCCGGAUCUGGUAGCACUGUAAGGUGUGGAGGUGACCGGUACUAAUUGACCGACAAAAACACACAA